AACGAACGCUGGCGGCAGGCUUAACACAUGCAAGUCGAACACCCCGCAAGGGGAGUGGCAGACGGGUGAGUAACGCGUGGGAACAUACCCUUUUCUACGGAAUAGCUCUGGGAAACUGGAAUUAAUACCGUAUACGCCCUACGGGGGAAAGAUUUAUCGGGGAAGGAUUGGCCCGCGUUGGGUUAGCUAGUUGGUGGGGUAAAGGCCUACCAAGGCGACGAUCCAUAGCUGGUCUGAGAGGAUGAUCAGCCACAUUGGGACUGAGACACGGCCCGAACUCCUACGGGGGGCAGCAGUGGUGAAUAUUGGAGAAUGGGCGCAAGCCUGAUCCAGACAUGCCGCGUGAGUGAUGAAGGCCUUAGGGUUGUAAAGCUCUUUCACCGAUGAAGAUAAUGACGGUAGUCGGAGAAGAAGCCCCGGCUAACUUCGUGCCAGCAGCCGCCGUAAGAC
rnacentral:rRNA from 1 species